CCAGACUCCUACGGGAGGCAGCAGUGGGGAAUAUUGCACAAUGGGGGAAACCCUGAUGCAGCGACGCCGCGUGAGCGAAGAAGUAUUUCGGUAUGUAAAGCUCUAUCAGCAGGGAAGAAAAAAAUGACGGUACCUGAGUAAGAAGCACCGGCUAAAUACGUGCCAGCAGCCGCGGUAAUACGUAGGGGGCGAGCGUUAUCCGGAUUCACUGGGUGUAAAGGGAGCGUAGACGGCCAAGCAAGCCAGGGGUGAAAGCCCGGGGCCCAACCCCGGGACUGCCCUUGGAACUGCAUGGCUGGAGUGCGGGAGGGGCAGGCGGAAUUCCUAGUGUAGCGGUGAAAUGCGUAGAUAUCAGGAGGAACACCGGCGGCGAAGGCGGCCUGCUGGACCGCGACUGACGUUGAGGCUCGAAAGCGUGGGGAGCGAACAGGAUUAGAUACCCGCGUA
rnacentral:rRNA from 1 species